GGACCAGACUCCUACGGGAGGCAGCAGUGGGGAAUAUUGCACAAUGGGGGGAACCCUGAUGCAGCGACGCCGCGUGGGUGAAGGAGUAUUUCGGUAUGUAAAGCCCUAUCAGCAGGGAAGAACAAUGACGGUACCUGACUAAGAAGCACCGGCUAAAUACGUGCCAGCAGCCGCGGUAAUACGUAUGGUGCAAGCGUUAUCCGGAUUUACUGGGUGUAAAGGGAGCGCAGGCGGCGCGUUAAGCCUGGUGUGAAAGCCCGCGGCCCAACCGCGGGACUGCAUUGGGAACUGGCGCGCUGGAGUGCCGGAGGGGUAGGCGGAAUUCCUGGUGUAGCGGUGAAAUGCGUAGAUAUCAGGAGGAACACCGGUGGCGAAGGCGGCCUGCUGGACUGCGACUGACGUUGAGGCCCGAAAGCGUGGGGAGCAAACAGGAUUAGAUACCCCAGUA
rnacentral:rRNA from 1 species